rnacentral:lncRNA from 1 species
ACAUUCUAGCAUUUCCCCUCGCACUAGGUCAGGAGGUUUGGGACUUUAGGGCUGUGACUUGAUACCUAAGUCCUUGAGGCCAAGUAGGACAUGGGACAUUGGAGUCCUUUUCAGAAACUAGACCAGCAGCUGCCAUUAAUCUGCUCCCAGGUUCUCUGUAGGGGAAAUCUGAGGACACAGAGUUCCAUAUGGGUGGCAGUGCCUGUCACUGUGACUUGUCUAUGAGUGUCUCUGGCAUCUGUGACUAGUAUUAUUCUCCUCCUUAACCCUCAAGGGAUGUAACAAACUUACUGGGUGGCUCCUGGCUAAGAAGUGGCUGUGCCCGGGAGCAGCAGCCAGCUCUGAGGGGGAAGCCAUUUGCUCCCAUCCUGGCUGCCUGUGCCCUUUAAGAAGUAGGUCACCUCUGUUGUAAGAACAUACUGUGGAUGGGUUAUUAAAAACAAAACAAGGAGCUGAUAUUAGGAUUCAAAUGAAUAAAAAAAUAUUAAAAAAAAAAGAAUUAAAAAAAACAAAAAAACACCCCAGCA